rnacentral:tRNA from 1 species
GGCGGGUUGGGGGAGUGGCUUAACUCUGCGGACUUGAAACCCGCCGGGCCGGAAACGGCUCCAUCCGUUCGAAUCGGAUACCCGCCG